rnacentral:lncRNA from 1 species
UUAAUAAGUAAUUUACUUCAUCAUGAAUGAAUUAAAAACUUAAUAAAGUAAAGAAUUUAUCAUCCCAAUUACAAAAACUGAAUUAAAGACUAAGAAUAGUAAUACACCACCCUUAUCUUCACUCAAAUCUACAAUUUUUGUGAAUCUUGAUUCCAUGCUUUGCUCCUCCAUUGUUCUUUAGAAAUUAGGGCUCAACAGUGUAAUUGAUUGUGUGUAUGAUUAAUCUAUGUGUUCAUCCCCUUUUGUCUCUAUAAUACUGAUAAAAAAACGUCCACACACAGUCCCAAUCCAAGCCAAAGUUGAUCGGUCCACGAAUCUGUAGUAUUUGAAUUGCAUCAGAAGUCUCUCUCUGUCCGCGUACCCCCGCCCCAGCGGGGGUUUUUAGCCUUGUCAUGCCUUACCUCGGCGGGGGGUCAAGAUUAUGUUUGCCACGUACACCCCCGCCCCGACGGGAGUUUUCUUCUUUAUAGGGCCCGCCUUGCGAGGGUAUGAUUAUGUAAAAACUGAUUUUUGCCUUUUGCAUGACAAAUCCUGCCGCGUCGCCACCAUUAUACCACAACUAACACAUAAUGCAUCAUACACACAAAACAAAAACAAGUAAAACUGUACAGAAAUAGACAUGAUCAACACUAUUUAAGUCUAAAUAGGAACCCAAUUCGUAGGUAUAAAACUCACUCAUCAGCUACCACUGGCAUCAUAAAAAGUCUCCGUAGCAAGGGAAGCCUGAUCACCAUCAUCAUUAAAACACAACUCUAUGUAGGAAGAAGUUUGAACCAACAUCAUCAUCAUCAAAAUUAGUCGUGCUAACAACCGAAUAUUCCGCAGUCGUCCCACUCGUGAAAACUAGAUCCGAGUUGGGCCAGGUGCCAAAAAAUAUGGUCCAAUUGGUGGGGGUUUAUUGAUUUAUUUGUUUAUGAGAAAGUUGAAGGACGAGGCAAUUUUUGUCAAAUAGAACCAAUCUCUAGCCAGAAGAAGUACUCUCAUUCCUUUUUUUGUUUCGUUUUCCCCAAACCCGAUUGUUGAAGUCAUAUGGUUCCAAUUCCUCCCAUUUAUUACUGAAGCAUAAUGUUGCCGAAGACCGAUGGGUUUGUCCCGAAGGCCUAUGAGUUUGUUGAAAGGGAUGUCAAACGAAAUGCCAAAGUUCCACUUUGUAGUGAUAGAUUGUCUCUGGGUGAAUGAGAGAUGAUAUGAGUAAUUUUGGAGCGAAAAAUCUUAGCUACCACAAACUCUAAAGUUGUUUUAUUUAUUACUUCCAAGACCACAAUGACAUGGCCGAAGAAGUGAAAGUGUCUGGCCCAAUUUUUAGGAUGAAAAUUCUUAGCUCCUCAAUUUGAGACUACUGCUUCAAUUCUCUUGAGUCCGAAUCGUUUUUGAAUCCACAAAUUGUUGAGGUCCCCUCUGCAAGGGUGUAGCUCUGAACCCUCCAUAACCUUCCUACCACUGCUGAAAAGAAUCCAUAGUCUCAUGGAGAAGUCUUUAACUCUUUUAUUUUCACUGUGAAGAAACUAGGCACACUCCUUUUUUCUCUACUCGAUCUCUAGAAGCACGAAAACUUCAAACUCUAAUACUUGGAUUCAGAAUUUGCAACUUAAAUUGUAAUAGUAGAUUCACUACCCCAAAAUCUGCUUCAACCAUCGGUGAAAAAGUAAUAGUAGUAUGUAAGGCUGCAAUCAUUUUUCUUUCUUCUUCUUUUUUGAUUUUGGUCGAGGCGAUGAUGGAGAGGGAAGGGAAAUCGGUGAGCAGCGCCACUGCGGAGUGGUUAUUUCUAGCAGCGGCGGUGAUCUCAUCCAUUUUGUGUUGGUGAAGGAGUUCUUCUUUGUGCUCUUCAGAAUCCAAAGCUCAAGCACUGGUUUAGCCCAUGCCUCACUCAUCACAGUCGCUGCCAUGUUUUCUCUGUAAAAAUUUCCUUCUCUAAAAAAUUGUGUUUCUUUUUUAGAACACACUUAGCCGUAUCAAUACUUCGGUGUCUAUCAGACAAAGAGAUUGAACAGUUGAAUUGGAUUUGCAGACUGCGAUUAGUUGAUGAAAGGUGACAAACUUUAAUUAUACUCUGUGGUUGAUGAUGAAACCAAAGUCGCCUUUAAAGCAUUUCAAUAAUAUUAAAGCUUAAACUUUUAUCUGUGUGCUGGUUGGAUUCGUUACUAGUGUGGCAGCUCAGCACCAAUUUAUCAUCACCUAGACUAAAGUGUUAAUGUUUAGAUUUUACAUGAAUCAUGUGAAUACU